rnacentral:rRNA from 1 species
AAUAGAUACCCAGGUAGUCCACGCCCUAAACGAUGACGACUGGAUGUCGGAGGGGUCUGCCUUUCGGUGUCGUAGCUAACGCAUUAAGUACCCCGCCUGGGGAGUACGGCCGCAAGGCUAAAACUCAAAGGAAUUGACGGGGGCCCGCACGAAGCGGCGGAGCAUGUGGAUUAAUUCGAUGCAACGCGAAGAACCUUACCUGGGUUUGACAUGCACAGGACGCCGGCAGAGAUGUCGGUUCCCUUGUGGCCUGUGUGCAGGUGGUGCAUGGCUGUCGUCAGCUCGUGUCGUGAGGUGUUGGGUUAAGUCCCGCAACGAGCGCAACCCUUGUCCUAUGUUGCCAGCGGGUUUAUGCCGGGGACUCGUAGGAGACUGCCGGGGUCAACUCGGAGGAAGGUGGGGAUGACGUCAAGUCAUCAUGCCCCCUUAUGUCCAGGGCUUCACACAUGCUACAAUGGCCGGUACAAAGGGCUGCGAUGCCGUGAGGUGGAGCGAAUCCUUGGUAAAGCCGGUCUCAGUUCGGAUCGGGGUCUG